AUGGACUCUUUCUGCUUCAUCAUCGAGCAACCUUGGGCUAAAUCCCAAGGUCAACAUUUCUCUAGCCAGAGUGCUGCAUCCACUCUGUGUUCAGAAAAGUGGGUCAAAAGUGCAGUCAAAGAGAGGAGCCAUAAAGACAAAUAUACCUUCCUGAUAGCAGUUGUGCAGGUGGCUCAGGAACUGGCUACUAACAGGUCUGUCAGCAAGGAGUCGAAGGCAGCACCACGGUGGCUGAGGGUGCAGAUUGAACUACAGGGAGCUGGGACCUGUUCUCUUGCAGCAUCCCCCACCACCCCAUCAGUCUUCCCUCUGGUCCCUGGCUGUGGGAGCAAAUCUAGCUCCACCGUGACCCUGGGCUGCCUGGUCGCCAACUACUUCCCAGAGCCUGUGACAGUGUCCUGGAACUCAGGUGGCCCUGCACACAACUUCCCGGCCGUCCUGCAGUCGUCUGGCCUCUACUCCCGCAGCAGCGCUGUGACUGUGCCCGCCAGCAGCUGGCCCAGCCAGACCCACACCUGCAGUGUCAGCCACCCUGCCACCAAGUACAAGGUGGACAAGCAAAUAGGACCCAUCACCUGAUCCUUGACUCUGCCUUUCACCAUAGGUGACAUCUCGGGAGGCCCCUCCGUCUUUAUCUUCCCACCCAAGACCAAGGACACACUCAUGAUCUCCCGAACCCCUGAGGUGACAUGUCUGGUGGUGGACUUGAGCCAGGAGGACCCUGAUGUUCAGAUCAGCUGGUUUGUGGAUGGAGUAGAGAAGACCACGGCCAGGACUGGUCAACGCGAGCUUCUUCGCUUCAACAGCACCUACCGCAUGGUCAGCGUGCUCCCCAUCCAGCACAAAGACUGGCUCCAGGGCAAGGUGUUCAAGUGCAAGGUCAGCAAUAAUGCCCUCCCAUCACCAGUUGAGAGGACGAUCUCCAAGGCCAAAGGGCAGCUCAAGGAGCCCCAGGUGUAUCCCUUACCCCCACACCAGGAUGAGCUAGCCAAGAACAAGGUCAGCAUCACAUGCCUGGUGAAUGGAUUCUAUCCUAGUGACAUCGUCGUUGAGUGGAAGAGCAACAAUAAGCCAGAGCCAGAGGACAGCUACCAGAACACCCCACCCCAGAUCAUGCCUGAUGGGUCCUUCUUCUUGUACAGCAAGCUCUCUGUGCCCAAGGACAAAUGGCAACAAGGAAGCAAAUACACCUGCAUGGUGAUGCAUGAGGCGCUGCACAACCACUACACAGAGAAGUCGAUUUCCCGGUCUCCCGAGCUUCACCCAGAUGAGAGCUGUGUGGAGGCCCAGGAUGGAGAGCUGGAUGGGCUGUGGACCACCAUCUCCAUCUUCAUCACACUCUUCCUGCUCAGUGUCUGCUACAGUGCCACCAUCACCCUCUUCAAGGUGAAGUGGAUUUUCUCCUCCGUGGUGGAGCUGAAGCGCACAAUCGUGCCUGACUACAGUAACAUGAUCAGACAGGCGGCCUAG